GACGAACGCUGGCGGCGUGCUUAACACAUGCAAGUCGAACGGUAAGGCCCUUCGGGUACGACGAGUGGCGAACGGGUGAGUAACACGUGGGUGAUCUGCCCUGUACUUCGGGAUAAGCCUGGGAAACUGGGUCUAAUACCGGAUAUGACCAAGGACUGCAUGGUUUUUGGUGGAAAGCCUGUGUUGUAAUAGGCACUGUGCGGUACAGGUUGGGCCCGCGGCCUAUCAGCUUGUUGGUGGGGUAANGGCCUACCAAGGCGGCGACGGGUAGCCGGCCUGAGAGGGCGACCGGCCACACUGGGACCGAGACACGGCCCAGACUCCUACGGGAGGCAGCAGUGGGGAAUAUUGCACAAUGGGCGGAAGCCUGAUGCAGCGACGCCGCGUGGAGGA
rnacentral:rRNA from 1 species